rnacentral:rRNA from 1 species
UACGGAGGGUCCAAGCGUUAUCCGGAAUCAUUGGGUUUAAGGGGUCCGUAGGCGGUUUUGUAAGUCAGUGGUGAAAGCCCAUCGCUCAACGGUGGAACGGCCAUUGAUACUGCAAGACUUGAAUUAUUAGGAAGUAACUAGAAUAUGUAGUGUAGCGGUGAAAUGCUUAGAUAUUACAUGGAAUACCAAUUGCGAAGGCAGGUUACUACUAAUUGAUUGACGCUGAUGGACGAAAGCGUGGGGAGCGAACAGG